GUUGGAGUAGAGUGCAGUUUGGAGAAGUGCUGUGGCUGGCUAGAAGAUCAAGACCCUAGCUUCUGAUGGAAGGAAAUAUGAGAACCAGAACAUGAAACUGAACUGUGUAGCCUCACUCUCCAAGCAAAUCCAAGGAUAAAAAGUAAGAUUCUACUGCUGUGAAUUGAAGAGUUGGAGCGCCUCCUUAACAGGAAAAUCAAUAGUCAUUUGGCUCAGUCAGACUGUCCAGUUUGUACUGUAAACAGCCAGGUAUAUGCAAUCCCAAUAAAUGCCCCACACUUAUGACCUGUUUGUUUUAUUUUCCCCUUU